UACAGAGGGUGCGAACGUUGCUCGGAAUUACUGGGCGUAAAGCGCAUGUAGGCGGAUCCAUAAGUCGGGCGUGAAAUCCCCAGGCUCAACCUGGGAACUGCGCUCGAAACUGUAGGUCUUGAGUGUCGGAGAGGAUGGCGGAAUUCCUGGUGUAGAGGUGAAAUUCGUAGAUAUUGGGAAGAACACCAGUGGCGAAGGCGGCUAACUGGUCCGAUACUGACGCUGAGGUGCGAAAGCGUGGG
rnacentral:rRNA from 1 species